ACUCCCGAUUAGUACUCUAGCGAAAUCACAGCAUCAUCACGGUGGCGAUUGGAUCUGAGUUCUCGUCUUCGUCGGUGCUCACGGCGUCAACACACCACCGCCGAUCGGGAGUACAAUCUCUCAGCGCCGCCGCUACCGCCUGCCACCAGCGCAACCAUUGCCGCGCUGCCCCACGUCGCCGCUAUGCCAUGUAUUGUCGGGAUGUCCGCCGCCCUGCCCUCUAGUGUCGUUGCCGCGCUGCCCCACGCCGCCACCCCGCCCUCAAAUGCAUCUGGGAAUGUUGACGCGCUGCCACUGCCCUCGACUCCGUCAACAACCUGGCGCCAGGGGCGGAGGCAGGGGCGAGCAGGAGCGAGACCAAUCGAUCGAAACUGCAGUAACUACUGGGCACAAGGAUGAGUUCACGGUGGAUGCUGCUGUAAGAAAUGGCUCUGUUGUCUUAACAAGGAUGGAAAGUAUAACAUAAUACAUAAACAAGGGUGAACAACCCAGAUCUGGUACUCAAGGACAAUCUGACACUCCAGUAUCUGCUAAUGACAUGUGUGCGCUGGAUGUUGUGAUAAUAAAUUGCUACCACAUUUUUCUGCAUGUUGUGAUAAAUAUUUUGCGCCACGGAACAAACUUUGUUGAAAUAGAGUAUCGCCACAAAAAAUUCAAAUUGUGGCGGUAGCUUCUUGCUACAAACAUUUUGGAUGCUGCAAUAAGUAUGUAGCGCCACAACAGUGCAUAAUG